CGAUUCUAAUGUGAGACCAAAGAUAGUCGGCAAUCAAUAUGGAGAAGGCCCAUCCUUUGUGCUUGUCUAUAUCUCAUCUCGUUGAAGAUGUUGAAGCAUGCCUAAAUUUUGGUGGAAUAACAAAAAGUCAGCGUAAAUCAAGUUAAGGAUUCUGAUGGUGUGCAAACAUCAAAGGAACAUCAUUCUAAUAGGAGAAGCAAUAGUGAUCUGCAUCUGGCUUUUAAUGGUGAAGAUAAGACAAAAUCUGCAUCAAUCUGACAGGCCUUUGACAAGGAUGGUGAUGUCGCUUUAAUGGGACUCACCUACAACACAAGGAAAGCCCACAUUAGAUCAUUUGGUGCCCCAUAUGGCAAAGAAGACAACACAGUCAUAUCAAUUGAUGAUUCCUAUGAUAAAGAAGACAUAAAAAUAAUUUCUUUUGAUGGUUUCCCAGAUGAAAAAGGAUGUUAACCCUGUGGGGAGGCCUGACAUAGACUUCAUUCAAUUUUUAUAAUCAAUCUUCAGUUCAUGUGUCAAUACCUUAUGAGAAAGAGAUAGAUGCUUCUAAUGUUGACUAAAUAAAGUUUAAAACCGUGUCCAAGAAUAAGCAAAAGUUCAAAACAACAUGCUUCAACUCAAUUAGUUAUAAGGUGUCGACCUCUUAUACACCACCCUGCACUGGUAAUGGAAUAGUAUCCAGUUUUUUACAUGAGAAAUAAGGUAUUCAUCGCAAAACAGAAACGAUAAAUAGUGGUACCUGAGCAAUAUGCUUAACAGAGAUCAGUUUAAUCAUUACAAAUGAUGCAUACCAUCCUUGCUUUAGACCAGAAUAUUUCCAAGAGCCCUUCGGCAUCAUCAUCAAUAUAAAAGAGGGUAUCCAUGGGCAGCCCAACAUCAGAACAAAAAGGGAAAUCAAUCAGGGAGUUAGGCCAAACACUAGAUAGAGGACAUUAAGCUAAUAAAAGGCUGUAAAGAGAUGGCAUCAGGAAUGGCCUAUGCUGUUACAUAUUUCAAAUAGAAUCAUUAAGCCAAUCCAGCCAUGGACUAUCAGUUAAUAAAAUCUCAUAGGACAGCACUAAGCAGAAGUAAUUCGAAAUUAUUAUCCUCCAGUUACACUUUGAGGCAUUAAUGCAAUGAUAUUAGAGGAAAAUAAAAUGCUAUCGACAGUAAGGGCAUCAAUCAACAAAAUUUCAAAAGGGCUGCACUAAACAGUUACAUUCUGAAGUAAUAACAGAGCAAUAAAGUAUGAAAUUCAAAUCAGUCGGGGGUUACAAAUCAGUGUAGAAAAACAGUAAGGUACUAAGGCAAAGGGAAAUACAAUCAGCCGUGAAUAAUAUCCAGAGAGCAGUUUAGAGCAUUAAUAUUUUAAUUACGGUCAUCAUUAGCAAAUUAUAAAUAGCUCGACAGUUAUCACAUAGUCCUAAUCAGCAUUCAUGGGCAGUUAAAGUAUUGAAAUCAGAAAGCAAAAUUCAUGGGAUUUCAAAAGGGGCAGUUUCAGUCAGUAACUCAAAAAAAGCAAAAAAAGCAAAAGAGAAAGAAUACAAAAAAGAAAGAAAAGCAUUGCAACAGUGAUAAAAAGAGAACAAAUCAGAAAAAUUAGAGAGGAUAACAAGUGAAAAACAUGGAGCAUUCUAGAGAGAAAGGCAGAAAUAUAAACAGAGAGACUGACAUUCAAGCAAAGUCAACUUGUUAUCCGAUGCAAACCGUAGUACGAGUAGUAACCAGAACCGGGAACCACCGUGAAGGUUCGGGUCCCGCCGAUGAAAACCGCACUCGAUCCUUUCCUCGCCCUUAAUAAGCCUCUACGAGGACAGGAAGUUAUAAAAAUGAUAAAAAAUGUAUAAUAAUAGAACAAAGAAGCAAAUGGAGAAGUAAGAGGAGACGAGUGAUGAAAACCAAAGAGAUUAGGAAGGAAUGAGGACCUUUUUUCGGCCGUGAAUGAGAACCGAACCACCGUAAGCCCCGAUGAUUCUUAAUCACCGCUAUCGCAACGCUUCAAGCCGAGUCAUCACCGAAGAAGAGAAAAGAGGGAGAUUUCGUUCGAUGCAUCUUGAAGAGAAAGGGAUUCUCUUCGUCGAUCCCCUCCAACACGGGCUGGAAGGCUUCCUCCAGCUAAAUCCGUGAGCCAUCGUGCUCCUCCGCGCCGAUGAAGGUGGAGCGAUGCAAGAAGGAGGAGUUGGCAAUUAGGGAUUUUAUUCCCAUUUCCCUUUCUGCUGGAUUCCAUGGGUUUGGGGGUGAAAGGGGUUCACCCCUUUUAAUUAUUCCCAUCUCAUUUAACUCCUUUUCUUUAUUUACUCUUUGGUUGAUUUUUUUUUAUUUUUCAUUAUUCCAUCUAUGCAAUUUAAAAUGAAAUGAACAUUAAUUUAUAUGCUGCAUAUCUCAUAACUUUUAUAAUGAUUGCGUAUUCCAACUUUAAGCAACAAGCUAUUUUAUCACUAAAUUCAACCAUCAAUUCCAUAUAAACUAUUUUAUUUAAUAAGACUAUUUUGCUACUAAACUCUAUAUGUAUAAAUAAUAAGAUACACCAACACCGUCUCUAAACUAUUAAUUCUAUAUGUAUAAUUAAUAAUCACCUAAAUUCUAUAUGUACGAAUAAUUAGAAACUAUAUUAUCAAAUUAAUCAUAGAAUUUUUAUAGUAAGGUUAUGGCUCGAGUUGUCUCUAACUUCUCUAAGAAUGAGAAGAAGGUCUACAACCAACACCGUCUCUAAACUAUUAAUUCUAUAUGUAUAAUUAAUAAGCUAUUUUAUUACUAAAAUCAUAUAUCUAUAAAUAAUUAGAAACUAUUAUACUAAAUAAAUUUUAUGGGUUUUUUAGUAAGGUUACGGCUAUUAAUCAUGUAUAUAGAAAAUAAUUCUCCGGCCUAUUUUGCUACCUAAUUCUAAAAAUAACCCAAUAUUAUUUUAGCGAAUAAAUUGGGAUUUUUAUAGUGAGGUUACGGUUCGAGUCGUCUCUAACUCCCUGGAAAUAAGGAGAAGGUCUACGACCAACACCGUUCCUGAACUAUUAGUCUCAUUGAACCAAAAAAAUUAUAUAUUAACAAACUCAAUAAGCUAAUACCUCUAAAACCUAUCGGUAUUUUCCAAAUCAUUAACAAUCAACCAAAGUAGAAGCAAUUAUUUGAAAUAGAACUACGUAAGCCUUGAUCCCCUUAAUAGGGGUACGUAGGACCAAAGUCAAUAUUGUCAGGCUCAAUAAUAAAGAUAAAUAAUUCUAAAUAAAUAAUUGUUAAGGGUAUAAAAGUCUAUGUUAUUAGCGAAUACGGGCGGACGGGGUGCUAAUACCUUCCCCGAUCUGUAAUCGACUCCCGAAUUCAGAAUCUCUAUCUAAAGACCAUUUUAUCCUAAUUGGGCUUACUAUAGAGUUUUCUACGUUUUAACCGCAAAAAACGUAGUGGCGACUCCAAAUCAAUUGGGAGAGGUAGAAAUCGGGUUCACUUCUCUCCAAGUCGUAGAGCCGGUCUUCCAACCGAAAAGCGGGUCGCGACAGUUGGCGACUCCACUGGGGACAUCCUAUAAGAGAGUCAGGCCUUGAACCGCUAAUAACAAGAACUCAAGUACCCUUUUAUUUUUUGUUUGAGUCUUGUUUUUCUUAGGAAUGAAUUAUUAUCUUGAAUUACCUUUGUUGUAUGAUAUGCGAGUUCACGUGUUUGUUUUGCAGCUUAUUGGGGGGUGGGGAACUUCCUACAAAAGGUUUGUAUGCUUCCUCACACACUCACGAGAGUCAACAUGUACCUAUACCCUGAGCCCGGGUAUUAGUGAUUAAGAUCUAAGAUAGAAGGGACAUCUGCUUUGCCGGUAAGUGACCUCGAGUCGCAUCUGGUAUUGGUGGAAUGAACCACCCAGAUCGUUUCUGGUAUUAUGAGUUAAAGGCUUGGAGGGCUCGAUCCUUCUCAUUUUUAACCUAUGAUACCUGGUCUCCUUAAUUUCGGGAUUGGGUGCGAUCUGGUGACCUAGAAGUCUAGAGCUUUACCAAGUCCACUCUAAACAAAAUCUAGUAUCCUCACCUUAGGACGUAACCUAUAAACAUUCCAAGAAUCCCUUGUAAGACGUACCUUAUUUAGGACACAGGAAGCAAACAAUUUCUACUCUUUAUUAUUUACAAUCAUAAAAGUGGGGCGUAGGCCGUAAAUGGCCAGUUCCUUCAACAUCCCCACCAGAGGGCCCAAUGCCCUACGGGAUGCAUUUCAUACACACCCGUUGAUGGGUGCAAACACCCUAAAGACGUAAUUUAUGUUAUAUCAGACUAAUCGAGGUUAUUUCAUUUAAUCCCAUGCUGCAAUUAGUCCCAUUAAUGCGCUCGAGGCCCUAGGGACAAGUUUAUAUCACCAUGUUAUGAAAACAUAAUAUAAUAAAAUCAAGAUUUUACUGCCCCCAUAUAAGGACCAGCAUCCUAGGGGGUAUACAUCAUGCACAUCAUUCAUUCAUGCAUUCAUCCAUGCAUUCUUUAUCUCAUUUAUUUAACACCUUUACGAUUGUCACGCCUUUUGCAGAUUACUUUGUCGAAGAGAAACUGGUAUAGUAAGACAUGGAGACUGAUUCUCAAGUUGUGGGUUCUGUCAGCACUCUAUCAGUGAAAAAAGGAGUGAGGGUAGAAUUACAAGUUAUGGAUGUAAGCUUCCUAGCAGAUCUUGUCCCCAAGAUCCCUCAAGAGGUUCAAGACCAGCUGGCAAGAGAAUAUGGAAGGUUGUCUGACUUGGUCCUCAUCACGGUUGAUAUAGAAACAUUAAAGGGCAUGAAAGACAUGAUCCAGUACUGGAACACUGCUCUACACAUCUUCGAAUUCCCAAAUAUUGAUGCAUCCCCGACUGUGGAGGAGUAUGAGGUCCUACUCGAUAUCGGCUCUUCCAUCACAGAUAUCGAGCUAUCAAACAGGCUAAAGCUGUAUCAGUAUAACGGUACUCAGAAUGUUACAGAAGAGUAUAUCGAGGGGCUGAUCGGGAUGCAUCCCUUGUUCUGGGCAGAGUUACGGCUUUCUGUUUUUGCUUCGAAUGAUAUGGGGCCUAGGUUGCCCAAUAUUUGGGGUCUUUGCAAUGAAAAAACAUCUUGCCGAAAUGGUGGAACAAGGAAAUUGGGAGCUAUUCAAACCCGCUUUUGCUCUAGCAGUAUAUGGUAUGGUCCUAUUCCCUUUCGUUUAUGAUAUGGUAGACCAAGCGACGAUCGAUGUCUUCGCCAAAGUCAAGAGGUUCAGAGUUAACCCCGUUCCAGCAAUAGUCGCAUAAAUUCUCUUAUCUUUCCAAAGGUGUCAUGAAAAAGGCUACCACAAGGUCCGUUGUUGUGUACAUUUACUCUAUGUGUGGAUGAUUACUCGGUUUGCGCAUCACCAAUAUCCAGAUUGGAGCAGGUACCCCCUGCGCCGGUUCAGAAAUAUUGCAAUUAAACCUAUGCAACUGGCGGAUUGGAAGAAACUGUUCAAAGAGGUAACCCCUAGGAAUUUUGGAACAAAGUGUUGCUUAUAUGACAAACAUCAGGCAGUGAUGUACUCAUGUGGAGACUUUCCGAACAUGAUGUUGAUGGGCCCCCGAGGAUGCAUCUCUUUCACCCCAGCCUCAGUACUGGGACAACUGAAAUGGGGGAUGAAUCCGGUACCUCAAGAAAAGUUGCAGGGGAUCACAGUCUGGUAUAGGGACGAGGGAACUACCCGAGAAGUUCUCACAUCUGUUGGGAACGCUCUGAGGAGUAUCCGUCUCUGUGGGAAGAAUGAGCUUGGAGAACACCAAGCCUAUUACACUGAAGAGUACAAAUGCUGGAGGAAUGAAAGGACGAAAUAUGUUAUGUUGCCACCAUCUGAGUCAUCAAAAGAACCGAUCGGGCCAUCCCAUAACGAACUACUACUCGUUAGUCAGAACAAACUUCUGGAAUCAGAGUUGGAAGAGGCCCGAGAUGAAGUAGAGAAAUAAAAAUUGAUGGUGGAGAAGCUUAACAAACCAUCGCUGCACAGAAGAAGGAGGAAGUCAGCUUGAAGCGAGACUAUGCCAGCAUGUGCUCUUCAUCCGACAAAUUCCGCCUGAUCCGAGCUGGCAAAGAAAAAGACAAAAAAAUAACAGAAUUGAUCAGGUCAGAGAAAGAAAAAGAUGAACAGAUAGCCGACAUGGUUGAUCAACUGAAGGCUCGAGGGCGAGCCCUACAUACUACUUAAAGGGAUGUUCACAUGCUGAAAGCAAAAAUAGAGAAUAUGCAUGCCAACCGAAGAGAUGGGAGCCAAACGGGGGCUAUCUUAAAAGAGUAUCAGGAAGCCUUGAUGCGAGCCAGGGAAAGAGAGGAUCAACUGAAUGUUGCGUUGGAUGCUCGUUUCCAAGCAUUGGCUGAAGCAAAUCACGAUAAAACCCAUCUUUCUGAACGAAUGAAGGACCUUGAGGAAGCCUACAAUGAGUUAAAUGCCAAACAUCAUGAGUGGUCACACAACUGGGAGAAUAUGCUCCAGGAGUGUAAAUGGGACAAGGAGAAAUGGGAAGGAAGAUGCAGGCAAAUCAUCGAGGGUCUUGGGGACUUUGCUGAUGAUUGGUUGAGAAACUUUGAUGAUGCCCGCCAGGAGGUGGAAAUGUACCCUGAUACNNNNNNNNNNNNNNNNNNNNNNNNNNNNNNNNNNNNNNNNNNNNNNNNNNNNNNNNNNNNNNNNNNNNNNNNNNNNNNNNNNNNNNNNNNNNNNNNNNNNUGCUGCAUCUGGAGAAUAUUGAGCAUUUUAUGUUUUUCUUCUCCUUUGUUAAAAAUAAAAAGAAAGAGAGAAUCAUAAAGGAAAAUUGUAGUCCUACUAUGAAUAUGAAUAAAAAAUUUCUCCUUUUCUCAGAGUUUAUCCAAGUUGUUAUCUAUACAAGUAUCAUAAGGGCUCAUCAUCUUAUCUAAUAUGCAAGUAAAAAAUUCGUGACAGAGUAAAAACAUCUUGUAAUUAGACACAAUCUUGGUCUGAAGCCUAGAGUUUCUUCUAACGAUUGGUAUCAAAUGUAAACGGUCUUGCGGACUACGCUCCCAAGAUUACCAAAUACAUGACAAGAUGUUUAAUGAUAGUGAUCCACAAUGAGAGAAUAAGCCUAGAUGUAAGCAAGGUCCGAAGCCUAGAGCUUCCUCUGAGUAUUGUUAUCAACACAAGAGAAACUAUUGGGGUGCGCCUCGUAGUCAGCAAAUGCCGGUCAAGAUGUCUUACUAUACCAAGCCUCUCGAAGACAAAGAAAUCAUUUUGCUUUCAUUUUUAUCAUUUAUUUUUCAAAUUUUUAUUUUUCAAAAAUUUAUUUUUCAAAUUUUUAUUUUUCCAAUAACUCAGGUUCUGUAAUCAUUGCACACCAACAUCCUUACAAUACCCGAUCAAAAACAAAGACCAUGGCCGACCAGGAAGCUACUACUGGAGGGAAUCCCGAGGUGAUUGAGCUGAAAGAGCAAAUAGCACUGAUGAUGAGAAUGAUGGUAGCCAUGCAGCAAGAAAUGGCAUCUGGGAAUUCUUCUGUAGCAGAUAAGCGGGCCCAAUCCGCACGUAAUGCCAAUGAAGGGGGGCACAACCAACAGUCUGCCUCUAAGCAUUAGGGUGCAUCACAAGGACAUACCUCGUCAAACAAAGAGAACUCACAACACACCAACCAACAUGACUCGGAUGACGAUCCUAACUACCACGCUCCCAAGAAUGAUAAAAGCACUGCAGGACAUCAAGCUAGUAAAGACACAAACGCGAUGAUAAAGGGAAGGGGAAGGAGGAUGAAAUGUGGGACGUCAUUAAUGAAAGGCUUAAAGCUGUGGAAGGGGCUAACUGUCCCGAUUUAAAGAACGCUUUUGAAAUGUGUCUGGUCCCAGAUGUCGUUCUUCCUCCUAAGUUCAAGGUUCUCGAAUUCGAAAAGUAUGACGGGACUACAUGCCCGAAAAGCCAUCUUCAUAUGUACGCCCGGAAAAUGUCAGCGUACCAUAAUGAUGAUAAGCUGCUGAUUCAUUGCUUUCAAGAUAGCCUUGUGGGGAUCGCCACUUUGUGGUACAUCCGCCUCGAAAGCAAGCACAUUAAGACCUUCCUGGAUCUUUCCAAUGCCUUCAUAAGGCAGUACAAAUUCAAUGAGGACUCUGCGCCGGACCGCAACAAGCUUCAAAGCAUGUCGAAACCGGCAAGUGAAUCAUUCAGGGAAUAUGCACAGAGAUGGAGAGGAGUGGCCUCACAAGUCUUACCCCGUCUGGAGGAAGAAGAGCAGAUCACUAUCUUCAUCAAUACUCUCCCUAACCCUUUCUUCGACAAGAUGAUUGGGAAUAAUACAUGUGAUUUCAAUUCAUUGAUUAGAGUAGGAGACAGAAUUGAGCAAAACAUGAAAACUGGAAAGAUUGCCGCCGAACAAACCGGAGAGCCCAAAAGGCCCAACUACAUGAAAAAAAGAAACUGAAGCCCACUACAUAGCCGGAGAACCCCAAAAGAUGUCAAACAAGAUAAACAACAAUCCCUGUUCAUAUACACACCGCCCUCAACACAACCAAACACCAUACCAACCGAGCUCGCAAAACACAUACCAGAUCCCAUACCAACCAAUAGCCUACAUUAACCACAACCGCCCACCACUUCAACAAAACACAACCUUUCAAUACAACCAACCACAACCAAACCUCUAUCAACCCCGACCACCUAGGCCCAACUAUCAACCAAAUAACCAAGCCCAAAACCAUCAUCCACCCGCGCAAUACCAAACUCAGGAAAGAAGGACUUUCGACCCUAUCCCUAUGACCUAUGCCGAACUAUUCGCCACCUUACAAACAGAGCGCAUCCUAGCACCCAUUCUAGGAAGAGUCCCAAAUACUAUGGCCGCAUGGUACAACCCCAAUGUCAAUUGUGCUUACCAUUCGGGAGUAGUGGGGCAUUCAAUCGAAACUUGUAAGGCAUUAAAACACAGAGUGCAGGAUCUUAUCGAUUCCGGAUGAUUGAAAUUCAAAGACGAUGUUCCCACCAUCACAAACAACCCUUUGCCCAAUCAUGGGAACCAGGGGGUGAAUGUCUUAGAGUGGGAUGAGGCAGACACUAUUAUUGACAGGGUGGAAGACAUAAAGACACCCCUAAAGAUCAUAUUUUUGGAGAUGUGCAAAAGAGGUCUGGUGAAGUGUACGCAAGAUGGUCAACAUGAAGGUGACGUUUGCAUGCUACAUGGGACUACAUACCAUAACAUAGAAGAAUGUUCCAAGUUCAGGUCAUUGAUACAAGAAUUAUUGGACUCCCAGUUGUUGAGGAUCGGGAGGCGAAAUGAAUGUUCUGACAUAUGUGUCAUUGAAAAAGACGAGGAAAGUCCGAGUCCGGUCAUUAUAAGGUAGUUUGUACCAGUAUUCAACAUACCUACUAGCACACCAUCAUAUGCAGCUCCGCCCCGAUGGGCGCCUCAUUUGAGAAAUAUGGGACAUGAGAUAGCAAGACAACCGAGCCCAUUCCCAUAUCAAUCAGACAGAGCCGUCCCUUGGAAGUAUCGAGAGGAAGCCGGAAAAAUGCCAGUUCCAACAAAUGAAGUUGUCCACUUGGCCGGGGUGGGAAAUAUGACAAGGAGCGGAAGGGUUUAUAGCCCCGUUGAGAUAGCCAGUAAAGUCAUCAAUGCGUCUAAAGGCAAAGAAAAAGUUGAUAAGCCAGUAGAUACCAGUUCUGGAGCGGCCCGGGUUGAGAUCCCUCCAUUUGAUGUUGAAAGAGAAGUCACAGAUGAUGAAGCUUGUGAGUUCUUAUGAUUCAUCGGGCAAAGCGAGUAUCAAAUAGUUGACCAGUUGAGUCGCACUCCAGCCAAGGUAUCAUUGUUGUCUUUACUGAUGAAUUCAGAAGCUCACAGAAAGGUCCUACUGAAAGUGCUGAACCAGGCCCAUGUCGACCAUGAUAUAAGUACUAGCAAAUUAGAUGGUAUCGUCAAUAAUAUCAUGGUCGAUAACUUUAUCUCCUUCAGCAAUGAGGAAAUACCGAGUGAAGGAACAGGGCACACCCGUCCUCUCCACAUCUCCAUCAUGUACACAGAUUUUGUAAUAGGAAGGGUGUUGAUAGACAAUGGUGCAUCGCUCAAUGUGAUAACCAAGAGAACAUCGUCUAAAUUACGAGUGGACGAGUCAGCCAUAAAACCAAGUUCAACAGUUGUUCGAGCCUUCGAUGGAGCCCGAAGGGAUGUGCUGGGAGAAAUCGAGCUACCUGUGAAGAUUGGGCCGUGUACUUUCCAGAUCCUAUUUCAGUUCAUGGAUAUCAAUCCGUCGUUCAGCUGUCUAUUGGGAAGGCCAUGGAUCCAUUUCAUCGACGCUAUACCUUCCUCAUUGCAUCAAAAGGUGAAGUUUAUCGCGGGGGGCAAGUUGAUAACCAUCAUGGGUGAAGAAGACAUUCUGGUGUCUCAGCUUAGUGAUACCCCAUACAUAGAAGCUGACACUGAAGCUUUAGAGUCUUCUUUCCGGGCGUUAGAGAUUGCAAGUGCUUCUUCCAAUAGGAGAGGACAUCCUAAACUCAAUCUGCCACCCUCUAAUGUCUCCAUUAACAUGGCGAGGGUCAUGCUAAAGAAAGGAUUCCAGCCAGGAAAAGGUUUAGGGAGAUAUGGUCAGGGAAUUGAAAACACCACAACCCUCCCAAUUAAUAAUGGUCGAUAUGGAUUGGGCUAUAAACCCAGCAAAGCUGAUGAGGACCGACUGGCAGAGGAAAAGAAGAGGAGUACUACUCGUGCGGGGCGUUACAGAAAUGAUAGCAGAAGGAUUCCCAUCCCCCACAUCAGUCAGAGUUUUGUGAGUGCAGGCUUCCCAGAACAGAAACUGAUUGCAAUGAUGAGUGAAGACCAGCCAGAUGAUGAUUUCAGUCAGGUGUACUAGUGCCCUCCAGGCAUGAUCUUGGACAAUUGGACCAUAAAGGAUGUUGCUAGCUGUAUUUAUGGGCCAAUGUAAUUAAAAAUGUUUUAACAUUUAUAAACUUUUUUGGUCACCAUUUGCCUAGCCCUGGGCAUUUGGAUCUCGUGUUAAUAAGGGCAUGUUUUUACUUUCAUCAGUGUGAUUUCUAAUAAAACAAACCAUCGCAUUUCAUUCCAUUUCUUGAACAAUUUUAUAUUGCACUUUCUGCCUAAACAAAUCAAUAAAUUAACCUGAUAUAAACCAAUAAACCAUAAUGCAGAUCUGACAUCGAAUCUAUAUCUAAUGCCAUCAUUAACAAUCACUUGCCAAAUUUUGAUCACCCGAUAAAUCAAGCAGAGGGAUGUGACAGUGACGAAGGCUGCGAAGCGUCACCGGAAUUGCGGAGAUUAGUCAAACAAGAAGGCCAAGAAAUUCAGCCUCAUGGGGAACCCGUCGAGUUGGUGAAUCUAGGUUCAGAGGAAGAAAAGAAGGAGGUUCGGAUAGGCACAAUCAUGGAUAGCACUGAGCAAGAAAAACUCAUUGCGCUUCUACAUGAAUACAAGGAUGUAUUCGCUUGGUCAUAUGAGGAGAUGCCAGGUCUAGAUCGGAAUUUAGUGGAACACAAACUACCGCUACAAGAAGACUCUAAACCGGUAAAACAAAAACUACGAAGGAUGAGGCCAGACAUAUCCUUAAGAGUCAAAGAGGAAGUGGAAAAAUGGUUGGAAGCCAAAUUCGUGACAGUCUCUACAUACCCCAAAUGGGUGGCCAACAUAGUUGCAGUGCCAAAGAAAGGAGGGAAACUCCGGAUAUGUGUUGACUAUAGAGACCUUAAUCGGGCAAGUCCAAAGGAUGACUUCCCUGUGCCACACCUCGAUGUUCUAGUCGAUAGUACAGCCGAUCAUGCUUUAUUCUCAUUCAUGGACGGAUACUCCGGGUACCACCAGAUUAAGAUGGCUCCGGAAGAUAUAGAUAAAACAACCUUCAUUACCCCAUGGGGUACCUUCCGCUAUCUCGUGAUGCCAUUCGGGUUAAAAAAUGCUAUGGCCACCUAUCAAAGGGCCAUGAUUGCCAUUUUUCAUGAUAUGAUGCACAAGGAGAUCGAGGUCUAUGUCGACGAUAUCAUUUGCAAAUCCAAAUCGGAAGAGGAGCAUGUCCCCAAUCUGCGAAAGCUCUUUGAGAGGUUACGAAAGUAUCAGCUCAAAUUGAACCCAGCUAAAUGCAGCUUCGGAGUGAAAUCUGGCAAAGUCUUGGGCUUCAUUGUUAGUCAGAAAGGCAUAGAGGUUGAUCCUGAAAAAAUCAGAGCCAUCGCCGAGAUGCUAGCCCCUAAGACAGAGAAAGAAGUUAGAGGAUUCUUGGGUCGUCUGAACUACAUCUCCCGGUUUAUCUCUCAACUAACUGCAAUUUGUGAACCCAUAUUCAAGUUAUUAAGGAAGAAUCAAGCGGUGACAUGGAAUGAAGACUGCCAAACAACUUUCGAAAAAAUCAAGCAAUACUUGGACAGAACCUCCGAUAUUGAUGCCUCCAGUCCCAGGUCGACCCCUAAUCCUGUAUCUAACAGUGCUGGAUGAGUCCAUGGGUUGUAUUCUAGGACAACAUGAUUACUUAGGGAAGAAAGAGCAGAUCAUUUAUUACCUGAGCAAGAAAUUCACUGAUUGUGAGAAGAGGUAUUCUCUGCUGGAACGCACUUGUUGUGCCUUGGCAAGGGAUCGUAAUACAUGUUGAGCCACACUACUUGGUUGGUAUCUAAAAUGGAUCCAAUUAAAUACAUAUUUGAGAAGCCUAUUAUGACGGGGAGAAUUGCCAGAUGGCAGGUGCUUCUAUCCGAGUAUGAUAUCGUGUAUGUCACCCAGAAGGCAAUAAAAGGAAGUGUCCUCGCCGAUUACCUUGCCAGCCAACCGGUAGACAAAGGGGAUUUGAUUAAUGAGGAAUUCCCUGAUGAAGGGAUUAUGAUGAUAUCUCUAGGCAUGGAAACAGAAGGAGAUAGAUGGACUCUUGUGUUUGACGGGGCUUCCAAUAUACUCGGACACGGAAUAGGGGCAGUAUUGAUCUCCCCGGAGAAUAAAUUCAUCCCGAUUACUGCUCGACUAUGCUUUGACUGCACCAACAACAUCACGGAGUAUGAGGCAUGUGUCUUGGGUUUGGAGGCGGCCUUGGAGUCAAGAAUUAAAUCCAUAGAAGUAUUCGGAGACUCUGCUCUAGUGAUUCAUCAAGUAAAAGGGGAAUGGGAGACCAGAGAUUCUAAGUUGAUACCAUAUAGAGAUCAUAUCCAAAAGUUGAUCGAUCGAUUCGAGGAAAUAGACUUUUACCAUAUCCCAAGGGAAGAUAAUCGGUUGGCUGAUGCUUUGGCAACUUUGUCCUCCAUGUUCCAGAUAGGUGAAAAGGAAAUGCUAGUUAUCAGAAUAGCAAGCAAAGAUCAGCCUGCAUACUGCUAUGAGUAAAGAGUAUCAUGACAUAAUGACAUACCUCAAGAGCAAAGAGUAUCCUUCCGAGGCCACGGAAAAUGAUAAAAGGACUCUACGAAGGUUAGUUAUGGGCUUCUUUCUAAACGAAAACGUGUUGUACAAAAGAAACCAUGACAUGAUGCUACUGAGGUGUGUGGAAGCCAAGGAAGCAGAGAAGAUCAUCCAGGAAAUACAUGAAGGAAUGUUUGGGACCCAUACGAAUGGGCACUCAAUGGCUCGGAAAAUCCUGAGAACAGGCUAUUUCUGGUUAACAAUGGAAAGUGAUUGUUGCGAUCAUGUACGAAAAAGUCACAAAUGCCAGAUUUAUGCUGAUAAUAUUAAUGCAUCUCCCAGCCUGCUAAAUGUUAUGUCUUCCCCAUGGUCGUUUUCUAUGUGGGGUAUGGACGUUAUCAGUCCGAUCGAACCAAAGGCUUCCAACGGUCACCGCUUCAUCUUGGUUGCAAUCGACUAUUUCACCAAGUGGGUCGAGGCGAACUCAUACGCAAGCGUAACUCGUAACGUGGUACUCAAGUUUAUAAAAAAGGAGUUGAUUUGCCGCUAUGGUUUGCCUCAGAAAAUUAUCACAGAUAAUGCUACCAAUCUCAACAACAAGAUGAUGACGGAGAUGUGUGAGGAAUUCAAAAUCAAACAUCACACUUCUUCGCCUUACAGACCUAAGAUGAACGGGGCAGUGGAGGCAGCAAAUAAAAAUAUAAAGAAGAUAGUCCAGAAAAUGAUGGUGACCUACAGAGAUUGGCAUGAUAUAUUACCAUAUGCACUUCAUGGUUAUCGGACUUCUGUCCGCACAUCAACUGGGGCAACACCCUACUCGCUGGUUUAUGGGGUGGAAGCAGUGCUGCCGAUAGAAGUCGAAAUCCCGUCACUAGGAGUGCUCGCUGAAGCUGAAUUAGAAGAGGCAGAAUGGGUCCAAGCUCGACAUGGUCAGUUGAAUCUUAUUGAAGGGAAGAGGUUGGCAGCCAUAUGUCAUGGUCAAUUAUACCAGAGGAGGAUCAUGAGGGCACAUGCUAAGAAGGUACGCCCUCGAGCAUUCCGGGAAGGUGACUAGUACUGAAGAAGAUUUUACCUAUUCAGAAGGAUCACCGGGGAAAAUGGACACCCAAUUACGAAGGCCCGUAAGUGGUAAUGAAAGCGUUCUCAGGGGGAGCUCUCAUUCUGACCAACAUGGACGGAGAAGACCUUCGUCUCUCCGUAAACUCUGAUGCAGUGAAGAAGUACUAUGCUUGAGGCGACUUCCUAAAAAAAAAGAUGAAAAAAAAGAAAAAAACAAAAAAGAAGGAGAAAAAGAAACUCAAUUUCUUAGGAAUAUUAAUGUAAUGAACACGAUCGUUAUUUAUAAAAUUGCAUACAUGUUUUAAGCGAAAAUGGAGAAUGAUGUAGACAAAUUCCCUAAAGGUGUGAAUUCUCGAAUAAAUGUUUCCGAUGACACAAGGCUUCUUUGUAACUCCUAAACACUUAUGAAGAUAUCCCUAGUCACCCUAUUUUAGCCCAGACUUUAUGAAGAAUGAUCAAAAUAAAAACCCUAAAAAGACAUUAAUAACCGGGGAAGGGUAGUUUUUCCAAUAUUUCCUAUAAUUCAAAAGAACAAUGCUUCAAAUCAAGUAGUGAGAAUCUAGAAAUCUCAAAGUAGAAGAAAAAUGAGAAAGGUCCGCUAAGAUACUCAAGAGAUCUUAGGCAAAAAUUAGGACAAAAACACAUCAGAUCCUCACUUGUCAAUACUAAAACGAAGCAAUAAAAUCACGAGAGGAAUCAUUGGAAAUAGGAUAUCGGAGAAAAGGAGAUGUAGUGGGAAGGGAAACACAAUUUGAGCCUUAAUAUCCAUUUUUUUGUAAGCCAUUUAACCAGGCCACGAUUCAAGCCCAAAAAGUCCUUGUUGAGGAAUAAUUUGUUUGGAACCAUGCUAGGGUAAAAAGCAAACUGACUCCAGAAGGAAACGUUUUAAGUGCACUCAUAUUUUGUAAACCAAAACUCGCACAAAGUGAUAAUUACGUUAAUAUUUCUAAAAAAUAAAAAGAAAAAGAACAUCCUGGUAGGUCGAAAACCUGAAAGGGCGGCCUAGGCAAAAGUUAGGGAUUAUCAUUAAAGAAAGUCGUUCUCAAUCGGAAGAAUGAUCACUCAGGAAGACAUCAAAGUAAGAUACUGGGGGCAGGUUCAUUGGAUGAGUAGUCUCACCCANNNNNNNNNNNNNNNNNNNNNNNNNNNNNNNNNNNNNNNNNNNNNNNNNNNNNNNNNNNNNNNNNNNNNNNNNNNNNNNNNNNNNNNNNNNNNNNNNNNNAAAAAAAACUCGUUCAAAUCUAUACCUCCACAUGUUAAUAUAAAGUCAUACCUUGUUCAUUAUCCCUCAUAUAUUAAUGCAUGAGUUGUUUUUGUGAAAAUACACUGAUGAAUAAUAAUAUGACCUUUUGCGAUAAUUAAUCAGAACAAGUAAUCGAGCAGCAUGGCCAUCCGUAAAGAAGAGCUGAAAUCAUGUCAAUAUAAAGCUUUAUUACUAGAGCUUCCACACCAAAUGAAAUUGGAACUUCAGAUUGUAAGGAUGCUCAAAAUCAAAUUCAAUGAUAACGGACUUGUAAAAUGAAAACAAUCAAGAUUUUCUCAAUAAAUGAUUCAAACAUUACAAGCAAAAAACCACACAUCAUGCAUUGCAUAUUCACAAACUAAAAAACAUCUGCAUUUACUUUUAUUGUCUCGAGUUCCGGCAGUACCUGACCAGCGUUCUCGCAAGUACUUUUAUUGUCUCGAGUUCCGGCAGUACCUGACCAGCGUUCUCGCAAGUACUUUUAUUGUCUCGAGUUCCGGCAGUACCUGACCAGCGUUCUCGCAAGUACUUUUAUUGUCUCGAGUUCCGGCAGUACCCGACCUGCGUUCUCGCAUUUACUUUUAUUGUCUCGAGUUCCGGCAGUACCCGACCUGCGUUCUCGCAUCUACUUUUAUUGUUCCGAGUUCCGGCAGUACCCGACCUGCGUUCUCGCAUUUACUUUCAUUGUCUCGAGUUCCGGGAGUACCCGACCUGUGACCUGCGUUCUCGCAGUUACUUUUAUUGUCUCGAGUUCCGGCAGUACCCGACCUGCGUUCUCGCAUUUACUUUCAUUGUCUCGAGUUGUGGUAGUACCCGACCUGCGUUCUCGCAUUUACUUUCAUUGUCUCGAGUUCCGGGAGUACCCGACCUGUGUUCUCGCAUUUACUUUUAUUGUCCCGAGUUCCGGCAGUACCCGACCUGCGUUCUCGCAUUUACUUUUAUUGUCCCGAGUUCCGGCAGUACCCGGCCUGCGUUCUCGCAUUUAUCUUUUUAUUAUUUCGAGUUCCAGCAGCAUCCGACCUGCGUCCUCGCAUUACCUUUUGUUAUUAUCAAGUUCCAGCAGUACCCAACCUGCGUUCUCACUUUACCAAUUAUCUCUAUCUCACUUAAGGUUGUAUAGUUUCUUUCGCCCAUUUGUACCAAAAUUGACGUUCAUUUCUUUACUAACUGCUUACAGAAAUAGCAACCAAUCCUCAGUUUGUCUACUACUUAGUAAGCAAUGAGUAAAGAGGGGCAGUUGUGAACACUCAAUUUUUGUCCUACCCAAUUUCACAGUCUCCUUGCAUCGGUUGACUCAUAAGAGUUUCCCUGAUCAGUAGACAUUCAAUUUGUUAAGAGUUUAUCAUCUUGUAUGUUCAUUAUUAUUUUUUUGUGUGUGCUCAUCAGACCGAUCAUAAGUCUUGUAAUGUUGAAAGUGCAAGCACGUUACCCAUGAUUAAGUUGAUAUAGGUAAUGAUUUUUAACACAAGCCUUAGACAAAAGAUGUGAAGAUCUUAAAUAUGAUUUUUAUGAAGAACUUGUAAUUCACAGAUUCCCUGAACUUUGUUUUAAAGAUUAGAUUAAGGAAUGAAUUCGUCUCACAGGAUUGUAAGAGUCAAAGCGUGAGUGCUCACAUUUUUAUAUGAAGGACAAUCUAUACCCGUCAAUCCUUGGUCUUAAUAUGGCAAGAAAAAUAAUAGAGUACCUGCAUAUUCAAAAUAGAAAGUGAAGUUCAAGAUCUUUAAGUGGAAAAUUGUCUCACUGGGAGAACAAUCCUAAUUUCCAUUUAAUCCCAAAUAUCUGUCAGUUGUUUAAGUUUGAAAAUAAGCAUGUCAAUUUUGCUGAAAAUAAUACAUUUUAUGUUCUGGUUGGCGAUUCUAAUGUGAGACCAAAGAUAGUCGGCAAUCAAUAUGGAGAAGGCCCAUCCUUUGUGCUUGUCUNNNNNNNNNNNNNNNNNNNNNNNNNNNNNNNNNNNNNNNNNNNNNNNNNNNNNNNNNNNNNNNNNNNNNNNNNNNNNNNNNNNNNNNNNNNNNNNNNNNNUUCAUUCAAUUUUUAUAAUCAAUCUUCAGUUCAUGUGUCAAUACCUUAUGAGAAAGAGAUAGAUGCUUCUAAUGUUGACUAAAUAAAGUUUAAAACCGUGUCCAAGAAUAAGCAAAAUUUCAAAACAACAUGCUUCAACUCAAUUACUUAUAAGGUGUCGACCUCUUAUACACCACCCUGCACUGGUAAUGGAAUAGUAUCCAGUUUUUUACAUGAGAAAUAAGGUAUUCAUCGCAAAACAGAAACGAUAAAUAGUGGUACCUGAGCAAUAUGCUUAACAAGGAUCAGUUUAAUCAUUACAAAUGAUGCAUACCAUCCUUGCUUUAGACCAUAAUAUUUCCAAGAGCCCUUCGGCAUCAUCAUCAAUAUAGAAGAGGGUAUCCAUGGGCAGUCCGACAUCAGAACAAAAGGGAAAUUAAUCAGGGAGUUAGGCCAAACACUAGAUAGAGGACAUUAAGCUAAUAAAAGGCUGUAAAGAGAUGGCAUCAGGAAUGGCCUAUGCUGUUACAGAUUUCAAAUAAAAUCAUUAAGCCAACCCAGCCAUGGACUAUCAGUUAAUAAAAUCUCAUAGGACAGCACUAAGCAGAAGUAAUACGAAAUUAUUAUCCUCCAGUUACACUUUGAGGCAUUAAUGCAAUGAUAUUAGAGGAAAAUAAAAUGCUAUCGAUAGUAAGGGCUAUCAAUCAACAAAAUUUCAAAAGGGUUGCACUAAACAGUUACAUUCUGAAGUAAUAACAGAGCAAUAAAGUAUGAAAUUCAAAUCAGUCGGGGGUUACAAAUCAGUGUAGAAAAACAGUAAGGUACUAAGGCAAAGGGAAAUACAAUCAGCCGUGAAUAAUAUCCAGAGAGCAGUUUAGAGCAUUAAUAUUUUAAUUACGGUCAUCAUUAGCAAAUUGUAAAUAGCUCGACAGUUAUCACAUAGUCCUAAUCAGCAUUCAUAGGCAGUUAAAGUAUUGAAAUCAGAAAGCAAAAUUCAUGGGAUUUCAAAAGGGGCAGUUUCAGUCAGUAACUCAAAAGGUUUUUGCAUUGACUCAUACUCAGCUAUAAAUAGCAGCUCCAUUCAUAACCAGAGGAACAUUGAUACACACAUACAUUCAGCCAAAAAAGCAAAAGAGAAAGAAUACAAAAAAGAAAGAAAAGCAUUGCAAUAGUGAUAAAAAGAGAACAAAUCAGAAAAAUUAGAGAGGAUAACAAGUGAAAAACAGGGAGCAUUCUAUAGAGAAAGGCAGAAAUAUAAACAGAGAGAGUGACAUUCAAGCAAACUUAAUCCAAAAUAGACUUACGUUUCACAAGCAUUACAAAGUGGUAGAACCCGUAUCAUACGACAGGAAGCAUAUAUUCAGGUAACCAUUCAAACGAAAUAGGUAUCAUAACAUGUCUUAUUUUAGGUGAUUUAUGCAUCGAAGUUAUAGGAAUAAAUUAUAAACCGAUUUAAUCGGCCAUUUCGCAGAAACUCACAUAAGUAUAAUAGGCUAGAAUAUAAAAUAGAGCAUGAACGAAAUUGGUUUUAAUCUAUGUAUUUCCACCAGUUAAAGAGAUUUGUUUUAGUCCAUGUAUUCCCACCAGUUAAAGACCAAACACUCAUCGAUGUUGACAUAACAGAUUAAAUUCAUGCUCUAAAAUCAAAUAGAAAGGAUAAAAGAUCAAAGAGGGAUACCGAAGUAGAAAAAUGCGAUUUCCAUUCUCGAUGUCAUCUUGUUAUCCGAUGCAAACCGUAGUACGAGUAGUAACCAGAACCGGGAACCACCGUGAAGGUUCGGGUCCCGCCGAUGAAAACCGCACUCGAUCCUUUCCUCGCCCUUAAUAAGCCUCUACGAGGACAGGAAGUUAUAAAAAUGAUAAAAAAUGUAUAAUAAUAGAACAAAGAAGCAAAUGGAGAAGUAAGAGGAGACGAGUGAUGAAAACCAAAGAGAUUAGGAAGGAAUGAGGACCUUUUUUCGGCCGUGAAUGAGAACCGAACCACCGUAAGUCGCGAGGAUUCUUAAUCACCACUAUCGCAACGCUUCAAGCCGAGUCAUCACCGAAGAAGAGAAAAGAGGGAGAUUUCGUUCGAUGCAUCUCGAAGAGAAAGGGAUUCUCUUCGUCGAUCCCCUCCAACACGGGCUGGAAGGCUUCCUCUAGCUAAAUCCGUGA
rnacentral:lncRNA from 1 species